AUGGUAUUUAACAAAAGCUGGGUUUUCCUUCUUGCUGUUUUACAAGGUAUCCAAUCUGAGGUGCAGCUGGUAGAGUCUGGCGGGGGCUUGGUGCAGCCUGGCGGGUCCGUGAGACUCUCCUGUGCAGCCUCUGGUUUCACCUUCAGUAGCUCCUACAUGAAUUGGAUCCGGCAGCCUUCAGGGAAGGGGCUGGAGUUGGUCUCAUACAUCAGUGGUGAUAGUAGUGAUAUAUACUAUCUAGACUCUAUGAAGGGCCGAUUCACCAUCUCCAGAGACAACAGCAAGAACACGCUCUAUCUGCAAAUGAACAACGUGAGAACCGAGGACACGGCCCUGUAUUUCUGUGCCAGCCACAGUGAGGGAAUGUCCAUGUGA